GGCACCUCCUCGCGGUGCC
rnacentral:misc_RNA from 1 species